GUUCUCCCAGACCGGGCCCCUUCCAGCCAUCCUUUUUAGCUUUUAGACAGAAUGAAAGGCACAGAGUGGGUGCUGGUCUAUCAACUGCUGGUGCAUCUGGCUGCCCUGGAACAGAGGAAACUCCAGGCUUGUGCAGGAGGCUGUGGGGAGGACCUGGCUGCUCAGUUUUAUGCUGUGUCCAGAGAAAGGAGGGCUCCUGUCCAGUUUGUACGUGCCUGCUGGGCUUGGUAACCACACGCUGCAGUCAUGGUGCAAGGCUGCAUACAUGAAGGGGAAGAGGAGAAUACGGCAGAGGAAGAAAGUCACCAGGAUGAGGAUCCCGUUCACCUUGUGCAGCAGCGUGUCCUGCAUCUUCAGCUGGGAAAGGAAGAAGGAGAGCACAGGUGAGUGCUGUGUGAGCAAUGCAAGGGGGGCUGCCUGGGGUGGGGAAGGGGUGCAAACCCCUGCAGGAUUCCAGAAUCCCCUGGGAGCAGCAGUGACACAGGCACUCACCCCAUGGCACCCACCCUCCUUGCAUACCUGCAUGAGGAUUUUGCCCAGCGAUACAAAAGGAGUGCUCAGCUCUGCUGUGAAGAUGCAGCCCACAAAGAAAUCUCCCAGCUCUCCCCUGAAGUGCUGCAAAUAACGACAGUAGUGAGCGUGGGGCCUUCCCACCGUGGUGUGUUUCAUACGCAGGGCUCUACUAACAGACCUUGCUGCCUUCAGGAGAGCUGGGAGCUGACACUGAGCACCUCCACAUCUCCUGACAGGCAGAGAUGCUUUCCAAACUCAGCUGAAAGGGUGUUGACCGUGAUGCCAGCCAACAGGCACAGAUCCAACACACACAGCUUGAGGAAAGCUCCCUCUUGGUCACUGUAUUUGGUCUCAACUGAUGUCAGUUACUUGCCCUGGAGACGUUCAUGAAACAUGGAGAUGUGGCACUGUGGGAUAUGGUUAGUGGGCAUGGUGGGGUG
rnacentral:lncRNA from 1 species